rnacentral:lncRNA from 1 species
AACUAAUUAAUAUGCAGUCACUAGCUUCAAGGAGGGGAACAAGCUUGGGGUAAAAGUGUUGCCUUAGGGAGACUUUUGUCAAAUGGAUAAUUCAAAAAAAGUCAUUCCUUUUGAGCUUGUUGUCAUUAACUCCUCUAGUAACCAACUGUGAGAGUUAUGUUUGAGCUUGUCUUGAAAAUUACUUUAAAAAAGAAAAGACAAGGGGCUGCUGACUUGGCUGCCAGUUUAUUUACACGUCUUAAGCAAGAAGCUGCAUAUACUUGUUUGCAGAUCCAUCUGGAAUCCUACCGGCAUUCUAUAGUAAUCUUACGGAAAUAACUCAUGCCUUUUUUUUUUUUUUUUUUUUUUUCCUUUCAAUUCAGGAAAAGUAGUUGUCAAAUACUUGUCCGUAUAUACUCAAUCAUUUGAGCAGAUCAACUCAAAGGAAACUUUAGGACAAGCCCUGUCUGGCACUUUAAAAUGUGACAGCUCACCCACUCACGUGGAGGAUGGGCCAGCAGAACGGGUCAGAUGGACCAUUCCAGGCCCUGGAGCGUGAGGCUUAGUUUUGCAGGGAUCAGUGGGACAGCUGGUAGUAGAGGAACAUUCUCUUGGCAGUGUUGGGUAUGGAAAGUCAAAUCAGGGCUGGAAGCCUUUUUUUUACAAAUAAGUUGGACUUUCAGGUCAACUAUCCCAGGAUGGGAGAUGGGUAGAUAUUUUAAUGUGUUAGGGAUGCUGUAACAAGGUACCACAGACUGAAGGGCUUGAACCAUAGAAAUGUAUUAUUUCAGGUGUCUGGAGGCUGGAGCGUCUAAAAUCAAGGUGUUGGCAGUGUGGGUUCCUUGUGAGAGAAGGAUCUGUUCCCAGCCUCUCCUGGGCUCAUAGAUGGCCAUCUUCUCCCUCAAGGAGAGCUCUGUGUGCAACUUUCUCCUUUUAUAAGGACAUUAGUCAUGCUGGAUUAGGGCCCUACCUAAUGACCUCAUUUUAAUUUGUUUACCCCUGUACAGGCCCUAUCUCCAAAUAAGGGCACAUUCUAAGGUACUGGGUGAUGGGACAUCAACAUAUGAAUGUAGACUGGGGAUGAAAUUCAACCCAUAAUGGGAGGGAGGCGUGGCAUUCAAUGUAAGAAGCUCCCACUGCUGAUUUCUGGCAGCCUCCUGGAUACACUCAGUGCAGUACCAACUGCUUUCAGUGCCUCAAAAACAAACCUCCUAGAAGCAGUCAGAUUAAAUUCACUGUGUUCUAUUAACUAAUACACAAAGUGCUCAGGGCCUUUUAGAAAGAUUUUCACCAGAGGGUCUGAACAGUUUAAAGACUGGGUAUUUGAAGGAGUAUCAUUUUAAUUAUCAAAGACUUUUAACUUAUAUGUUACUACCUCACUCCCUGAUUUUUCAUUCUGAAUAACUGAGAACUCUGUAUUUAAAAUUGUGCUGUAGCCGAUUUCAUUCUUAUGCCCUAGGAUGUCCUCUUAUGUCCAGAGAAUGCCCAGGACAAUGUGUCUUUAGCAUUAAGUGAUGAAGACAAUUUUAAUGACACUUUUGUUAAGACUGAUAUAGCUCUGCCUCCUAAAAGCUGGAUUACUUUGGGCCAGUGACUUAACCUCUCUGUGCUUCUCUUUCCUUGUCUGUCACAUGGCUUAGUAAUACCUCUCUCACAGAGUUGGAGAGUCAGAUGAAAUAAUGUAGGUAAGCUCUUUGUUUGGGACCUGCCGUGUAGCAGAUGCUCAAUGAAUCGUAGUCUCUCCAGCUUUAUUAUAUUUUGUAUCUUUAUAAACCAAGGUUGUGGCUCAGGAGUCAGGCCUUCAGUGUCUAUUGGCUGAGAGCAGUUGGGGAGGAUCACAGGUCAUGAAUGGGAGCUUCCUGAGCCAGAGGGGGGCUUUAUGAGCAGGGUGAUGCUGAGGAGAGGGAAAUGAUAGAAGGUUGUAAUAUGACCCACUCUCCCAACACCCUGCACAGCUCUGUAAACUGCACACAUCCCAGUAUCAUUGAUACACCUGGAUUUCCUGUAGAAGUUGGCAUGAAAUGGAGGUUGGCACUGGUCUGGUAAAGAACCCAGGGUGGAGACAAAAACUCAGAAGGGAGGAGAGACAGAGGAAUCUAUGAGUAAAUAAGAGCUUAAAUUCAGACUAUUCAACCCUUUAAUCACCAAUGAAUAAAAAAAGGGCAAUGCCAUUUAUUUUCUAUUGUUGGAAAAUCAAACUCUCCUCAAUCUUGGAGAGUAAUUAAGAUAUUAUCAUAUCUAUUGUUGGAAAAUCAAAAAACUCUCCUCAGUCAAUCUCGUGGCUUUCAAUAUUCAGUACAAUUAACCCCCUCCUUAAUUAUUAAUUUUCCUUCCUAAAGUCUGUUCUCUUGAGUCUCUUUGGUUCUCUUGGUCAUUUGGUCACUAGUUUUUCACCCAUAGAGUUAAUCUCUCCUCCUAACUUUCUCUCAUACAGUGUAUGCAACUCUUCCUUGUAUUUUCCCUCUAUUUCUGGCUACUUCCAAUCACUUAUAGUCCAACUGAAGAGACAUCAUUCAAUGGGGAAGUUCACCAUGAUCAGCAGACAAUUCUGAUCACCCAGAAUUUUCCUCUUUUUCCAGCCUCAUUUACCAUCAUUCCUUUCAACGAAUCCUUGAAUCAGAGCAAAUAAGUGACUUACUCUUCCCCUCACCCCCCAGUUCUCUUUUUCAUGAUGCUAUUUUUUCUCCUGGAAUAAGCCUAUUUCUCUCCAUCUCUUCUUCACCCUUUCUUCCCCACUUCCCACCCAGUGCACACACACAAAACUGGAGUCUCCAAGUUCCAGCUCAAAAAACCCCCUCUGUCCUCCCAAGAAGAAAUAAUUCCACUGAUUCUCCCAUGGUAUUUACUUCUGAUGCCAUCACACACCUCAACUAACAGUAUUUUCAGUUGUAUUCUUAAGGAUUUGCAUGGUGAGACUGAAGCUCCCCCACUCCCCAGAGCCUAGCUCACUGCCAGACGUAGAGGGACAGCUCAGUGCAGGUUUUAAUGAAGGGGCAGAUGAAUGAAUGGAAGUGAAUAAUAAUAGGGAAAAUCCCAAACACCAAAUAAUCCCAAAGUAAUCUAUAUGUGACUUUGGAAUGUAUUUUAUACACACAUUCAGAGAACAUCAAACACAAAACUUCAAACAUAGCAGUGAAGCCAGCCUGUGCAGAUCCCAGUUGGGUGGGGUGGCUUGGGAAAAGGGUGGGAAUCCUUACAGGAAGGGAGGAACAUCUCACCAGGCAACUAUCCUUCCCCAGCCUCAGUGGCUUAUUUAGAAAUCAGACUCCAGAUGGCUUAAAGUACAGGGUACAGGGCUGGGUACCUAAUAAGUGAUCUGUAAUGCCUUUGGAAAUGGAAGUGCUUAUGCAAAUGCUAAAUUAUAAUGAUACAAAAAUAACCAUCUCCCAUUAUCUUCUUUAAAGAUGUAAAUGACAUGCUCUUUUAAAUCUAAAGUGGGUUCAAGAAACAGCAGUAAGGGGAGUUCCUAUUGUGGCUCAGGAGUAACAAGACCCACUAGUAUCCCUAAGGAUGUGGGUUGGAUCAAUGGCCUCACUCAGUGGGUUAAGGAUCUGGCAAUGCUGUGAGCUGUGGUGUAGGUCACAGACAUGGCUCGGAUCCUGUGUGGCUGUGGCUUAGGCCAGCAGCUGUACCUCCAAUUGGACCCCUAGGCUGGGAACUUCCAUAUGCCAUGGGUGCGGCCCUAAAAUG